rnacentral:lncRNA from 1 species
CCCCCCCCGGGGGGGCUCGGUGCCGCCUCGUCAAGGGCUCGGUUCUGCUUUUGGACCCGCUGUUUAAUUAACACCCGGCCGGGGCCCCCGCCCAGGAAGGAGCCCGUGUGGGGCUGAUGGCCGCGUGGCCACCUGGGGCCCAGCCGACCGGGCCUGGGGGUGUUUUCCUGAUGGUGCCUCUUCCCCCCGGAGCAUCGUGGGGGGGCCCAGCCCCGACCUUGGGGGCCCAUCCCGACUUCUCCUCAUCCCUUUGGGGUCACAUCCCAACUUCUCCUCAUCCUUUUGGGAGCCCAUCCCUGACCUUGGGGGCCCAUCCCGACUUCUCAUCCCUUCAGAGUCACAUCCCAGCUUCUCCUCCUCCCUUUGGAGCCACAUCCCAGCUUCUCAUCCUUUUGGGGUCACAUCCCUGCCUUUGGGGUCACAUCCCAACUUCUCCUCAUCCCUUCAGAGUCACAUCCCUGACUUUGGGGUCACAUCCCAAAUUCUCAUCCCUUCAGGGUCACAUCCCAACUUCUCCUCAUCCCUUCAGAGUCACAUCCCUGACUUUGGGGUCACAUCCCAAAUUCUCAUCCCUUCAGGGUCACAUCCCAACUUCUCCUCAUCCCUUCAGAGUCACAUCCCUGACUUUGGGGUCACAUCCCAAAUUCUCAUCCCUUCAGGGUCACAUCCCAACUUCUCCUCAUCCCUUCAGAGUCACAUCCCUGACUUUGGGGUCACAUCCCAAAUUCUCAUCCCUUCGGGGUCACAUCCCAGCAUCUCCUCCUCCCUUUGGAGCCACAUCCCAGCUUCUCAUCCUUUUGGGGUCACAUCCCUGCCUUUGGGGUCACAUCCCAACUUCUCCUCAUCCCUUCAGAGUCACAUCCCUGACUUUGGGGUCACAUCCCAAAUUCUCAUCCCUUCAGGGUCACAUCCCAACUUCUCCUCAUCCCUUUGGGGUCACAUCCCUGACUUUGGGGUCACAUCCCAGCUCCUCCUCAUCCCUUUGGGGUCGAAUCCCAACUUCUCACCCCUUUGGGGUCACAUCCCUGCCUUUGGGGUCACAUCCCUGCCUUUGGGGUCACACCCCCACCUCCGUGGGCGCACCCCCACCCUACGUGUGCUCACCCCACCCCAUUUCCGCAGGGAUUUGCGGGGCCGGAGCCGUUUCCUUGGCCGUGGCAGCGGGUUUUUGCGGGGGGGCAUCUCUGCCGCGGGAGAGGGGUGGCACCUCCCGGCCCCAUCCGGUGCCUUUUGGGGCCAUGACACCCGGUGUCACUCCCGGUGGCCCCACGUGUCCCCGUCCCCUUGGGCCACCAUCGAGUGUCACCGGGCUCGGAAACGCCCGGAAAAGGGACAUUUCUUCCUUUAAAUUAUUUUCCCCCCAGAGGGGGUGAGUGGCUUUGCCCCCUGGGGGUGGGGGGUGACACUUGGGGACCAGGUCCCCCCCCAAAAACCUCCCUCCCCCCCCUCCCCGGUCUCCUGGCAACCCGGGGAGCGUUAUCUCUGGCGGGGAGCGGGAUAAAUCCGAUAAAUCCCGGCUUCUCCCGGGCAGGAGUUAAUGUUCAACCCGGGCGAGGUUCAACCCCCGGGGCCUCCACCGAGCUGGCAUUUUAAGGGGAAAAAAAGCUAUUUUUUUUCCCCAAAUAUCACUUUUUUCCCCACUUUCCAGGGCUGGGAACCUGGAUGGGAAAGUGGCUUUUUUUGUGUCCCCCCAAAAAAGCCGGUGGGAAGCGGGGCCGGCAUCGAUUUGCUCUGGUUGGGACAAAAAUGGGACAG